rnacentral:rRNA from 1 species
GAUGAACGCUGGCGGCGUGCCUAAUACAUGCAAGUCGAGCGAACAGACGAGGAGCUUGCUCCUCUGACGUUAGCGGCGGACGGGUGAGUAACACGUGGAUAACCUACCUAUAAGACUGGGAUAACUUCGGGAAACCGGAGCUAAUACCGGAUAAUAUAUUGAACCGCAUGGUUCAAUAGUGAAAGACGGUUUUGCUGUCACUUAUAGAUGGAUCCGCGCCGCAUUAGCUAGUUGGUAAGGUAACGGCUUACCAAGGCAACGAUGCGUAGCCGACCUGAGAGGGUGGUCGGCCACACUGGAACUGAACCACGGUCCAGACUCCUACGGGAGGCAGCAGUAGGGAAUCUUCCGCAAUGGGCGAAAGCCUGACGGAGCAACGCCGCGUGAGUGAUGAAGGUCUUCGGAUCGUAAAACUCUGUUAUUAGGGAAGAACAAAUGUGUAAGUAACUAUGCACGUCUUGACGGUACCUAAUCAGAAAGCCACGGCUAACUACGUG